CACCUCUCAGGGUCGCACCUGGAGAGUUUCCAGGACUCUACCAGUCUCAGCUAUGGGAGGGAGAGUCUAGCAGAGGCAUAUCCAUUCCAUUCCUAGCUUGGCCAGUGGCUAGUGAGUGGAAGGCAAUGUGCUACAAAU
rnacentral:snoRNA from 1 species